UACGUAGGGUGCGAGCGUUGUCCGGAAUUAUUGGGCGUAAAGAGCUUGUAGGCGGUUUGUCGCGUCUGCUGUGAAAAUCCGGGGCUCAACCCCGGACUUGCAGUGGGUACGGGCAGACUAGAGUGUGGUAGGGGAGACUGAAUUCCUGGUGUAACGGUGAAAUGCGCAGAUAUCAGGAGGAACACCGAUGGCGAAGGCAGGUCUCUGGGCCACUACUGACGCUGAGAAGCGAAAGCAUGGGGAGCGAACAGG
rnacentral:rRNA from 1 species